CAUAUUUGGUCCCUCAGUGUCACUUUUGGGGCCAAUUUUGGGGCCAAUUUCCCCAUAUGGGGCCGGGGCGGGAUCCGGCCGGGAGCCAAUCAGGAGCUGCCCUGGGCCGGGCUGCGAUCCAGGAGGGAGCCAAUCACGUGUUGCCUUGGGACAGGCUGGGAGCCAAUCAGGAGGUGCCCCGGGGCUGGCUAGCGGUCCAGCAGGGGGCCAAUCGGGAAGGACUGCGGGGUGUCGGGUGAUCUGGUAGGGAGCCAAUCACGUGUGGUCUGGGGACAGGCUGGGAGCCAAUCACGUGCCGCCUUGGGACAGGCCAGGGGAACCGGCCGGGAGCCAAUCAGAAGCAGCAGGAUUCAGUAGGGAGCCAAUCAACUGGGAGCGGUUCUUCCGGUGGGUGGGAUCCAGACAGGAGCCAAUCAGGAGUUGCUGUAGGGGAAAGGGGGGGGCUUGGAAUCCAGUCGCGAGCCAAUCAGGAGUGGCUGUGGAUUGGCCAAUCAGAAGCGGCCUUGGCUUGGGUGGAAUCUGGUCUGGAGCCAAUCAGGAGUUGCUAUGAGCUGGGGCGGGCUGCAGGGACUGACCAAUCAGAAGCGGUCUUGGCUUGGGUGGAAUCGAGUCCAGAGCCAAUCAGGAGUGGCUGUGGGACGGAACGGGCUGCAAGGACUGACCAAUCAGAAGCGGUCUUGGCUUGGGCGGGAUCCAGCCCGAAGCCAAUCACGAGAGGGGGGGCAGCAGCAAGAGAGCCAAUCAGCAGCGCCGUGGGCGGGGGGAUCCGGUCUCCGUCCAAUAGGAAGCGACCGCAGCC
rnacentral:lncRNA from 1 species